AGGGCGGACAUAAACACACACGAUGAUUCUUCAAAUGGCCUGCUCACAAACCGAGGUGUGAAAUUAAACACCCAACUGUCAACAUGAGAAGGCAGCGAUAUGAUAGUUGACGCUUCCUGCGUAAUCUGGGAGUUGCGGUGCACGGAAAAACAUGUCAGACAGGACCUGUCACGUUCUACCCGGGUCUCACCUCACCCCAGGCGAAUUCCACCAACGCCAACUUCAGCGAGCUACGAGUAGCGACUAGCGUGUAGCGCAGAAAUGCCUCGACAGAAGUACCGAUAGUCGAGUGCAAGGAGAUGUGUGCAAAAUCUCAAGCAUAAUGGAAAAAUGAAAUGAAAUGAGGGGUUGAUUAUUUAAUUUCAUAGAAAUUACAACACAUUUUAAUCGGGGUGUGGCUUUCGCGUGCAUUUUUUUUUAAUGUUGAUUUAAAAUAUGAUAGAAUUUUUUUACCAUCACAUCAAAUUUUUUUAAAUAUUUUUUUUUCUUUUUGGUUUUAACUCUGACCUACAAAAUCUUGCGCAAUAUGGAUUUUAUUACAAUUUUAAGUUUCACCUUUCA